CAGGUGGAGAAAAGGCGUGCGCGUGGUCGCCGGCGGAGCGGCGGGAUUGGAUUGGGGGUGGAGCUCCAGCAUCCUCUCUCAGCGGAACCGGCGCUGAAGGCCGGCGGCCUCCUCUCUCCCUUGGCGCCAUGGGGGUCGUGUCGCUUGGCUGAGGACAGGAAGCGGGAGGAAGGAAGCGGCGGGUGCGUGCCGGCCUUCUUCUCCACCCCAGCCUAGAGCAUCACGGCUCUGAUAGUCCUGUGAAGCACCCUCCCCGACGGCUAGCUCGUGUGAUUCGGCAAAACAGACCACCACCUGCAGGUCGAUCUCUUUUCCCCAAUGCUUUCUACAUGGUUUGAAGUCCCCAUUGUUCAGUAGAUCGAAGGGAUUAUAGUUGGUCCUGAGUGAUUGGCACAAAAGAUCCAAACAUACUAGGUGCUCUGGUUGUGAUUUUGGUGCGUAACAGGUGUUUGUUGCUGCGCGUAAAAGAACCAAAUCAGUAUAUUUUCAGAUUUCUCAUUUGGUCCAUGAAAACUGAACUGAUUUAAGAUCAAAUUAGUCACAUUGAUAAAGUGGACGAGCCACUUUCUAUGAAUGCAAAUUGACAUAAGAAAACCCCCUUCCUUCCAUCAGUAUGUUUUUCUAUUAAUAUGCAGGCUAAACAUAUACAUGAUUUCAACUGUGAAAUAGUGUGAACUGGGACCUAAAUCUCAUGCUCUCAUUUUUUAUUAUUAUAGAUAAGUUUCUACUGUACAUAUUACAUUUCAUCUACUGUAUUUUGCCAAGUUAUAUGAAGAUAACUUUUAUCUUGCUGCAGGUGUUAGGUUUUUUUUUUUGAAAUAUCGUCUCUCUCACCCCCUCGGUUUGAGGCAUUGAGUACUGGAAAGAGUAAUCCUGGUCAAUUUAUUUUCUACUUUGCGUACGCAAUUUAAUCUGAUGUGAUUACAUCCUAUUCUUGCUUACAUUUGGUUUUUAAUACCACAUCAAUUUAAUCUGAUGUGAUUACAUCCUAUUCUUGCUUACAUUUGGUUUUUAAUACCACAUCAUUACCGUGCGGAGGUAACCUGGCUGACAAUGCUAUUUUUGUUCUCAAAUGUGAGCUGGAGCUUGGAUUUUACACUAUCCGGUUGUUGGAGCACGAAAGACUGACUAACGCUUGGCUUUAUUUGCUUUUCAUGCCAUCAAAGGUUGAUUGGAGGAAAAAUGUUCCAGCAAACUAGGAAAAGAAAAGGUUCAAUCCUCUGUCUAAGGUAAACCCUUGCCUUCAAAUAUUCCUUACGAAAUGAUGUCACUGUUGUUGGGGAUCAGUUAUGUCGAUAGCAAGGAUAUAUUAUUUAGCUGGAUUUUGUUUUCUUUGCAAACUGCUACUGGGUACGUUGGUAUGUUAUUAGCUUUUGGUCAAAUUAAUUUCUUUUCUUACCCUAUUUUCCUGAGAACAAACAAGAAGCAAUAAAAUGAGGCUGCGUAUCUCCAUGUAAUAGCUAGAAGAUAUAGAUAUGACAGUGUAUCUUUUACAUGUAUGAGUCAGGCAAGGCAUCCCGAUGAUAACUAUAUUUCGCCGAAUUUUGUUUACAUGGUGGCUAUUCGUGCAUUUCGUUUUAUAUUCAUAUGAUACUUGGAAAGCUCAGGGACGAGCACGAUGAUGGAAAUAGCAUCCAUGAGUUCGCCCACCGGAAGUACCACAAGCUCGGUGAGUUUGGAGGCGGCCUCGGUCUCGAACUUCGAUUGCCUCUCCUCUGCGGCCCUCCUGGAGAUGGACGCCUCUGGGUUCCAGCCAGACCAGCAGCACUGCGACAAUUUACAUGCACAGAACAAUGUCUACACGGACAUGUUGAUCAUCAGAAGUGAAGAAUCAAGAUAUCAUCAUAAGUGAAGAAUCAAGAUGCAAUCAAUAUGUGGAUUAUAGAUAUGCCUGUGCGUGCAAGAGGUUUCAGAUCACCACUGACAUCAAAGAGUAACUUCAGUCCUUGGCUAAAAAUACUCUCUCCAGCAAAGAAUAUCGUGUUAGCAAAUCCGAUGCUACAGAUUUCUAUAUUGAUUCAAAGAUGGAUUCUCAAAUUACUACAGAGAAGCAAGAGUGUCAACUUUCUUGAAAAUUUAAGGAGAAAGAAGAAAUCUGUGCUGCCCAGUGCCCUCCAGCAGAAGGUACGAGGUAAAAUAGCUGAUGCUGUUAAUAGCUAAUUACCUGCAAAGCCGGCCAUAAAUGUCCACACUGUCCUAAUGCAAAUAGUGGAGUUGGAGCGCAAACUUCGACAACAGCACUAAUCAGACUCCAAGGGAUAAUCUUUCAAUAAUUUUUGUGUACUAUGGAGAUUUGGAGCAGUGCAAGGAGACUAUGUCAAUCUUCAUUUAUACCGAAUAGAAAUACUACAAGGUUU